rnacentral:tRNA from 1 species
UGGGGUGUGGCUCAGUGGUAGAGCAAGCGCCUUCCAUGUGUGAGGUAUUGGGUUCAAUCCUCAGCACCACAU